UACGUAGGUGGCAAGCGUUGUCCGGAAUUACUGGGCGUAAAGAGCUCGUAGGUGGUUUGUCGCGUUGUUCGUGAAAACUCACAGCUCAACUGUGGGCGUGCGGGCGAUACGGGCAGACUUGAGUACUGCAGGGGAGACUGGAAUUCCAGGUGUAGCGGUGAAAUGCGUAGAUAUCUGGAGGAACACCGGUGGCGAAGGCGGCAUCCUGGACCGACACUGACGCUGAGGCGCGAAAGCUAGGGGAGCAAACGGG
rnacentral:rRNA from 1 species